rnacentral:piRNA from 1 species
UGAUGGUUUUGGCAAGCUCAUAAAUGCUG